rnacentral:rRNA from 1 species
ACCAGACUCCUACGGGAGGCAGCAGUGGGGAAUAUUGCACAAUGGGGGAAACCCUGAUGCAGCGACGCCGCGUGAGUGAAGAAGUAUUUCGGUAUGUAAAGCUCUAUCAGCAGGAACGAAACAAGACGGUACCUGACUAAGAAGCCCCGGCUAACUACGUGCCAGCAGCCGCGGUAAUACGUAGGGGGCAAGCGUUAUCCGGAAUCACUGGGUGUAAAGGGAGCGUAGACGGCUGAGCAAGCCUGAAGUGAAAGGCGGGGGCCCAACCCCCGGACUGCUUUGGAAACUGGACGGCUGGAGUGCAGGAGAGGUAAGUGGAAUUCCUAGUGUAGCGGUGAAAUGCGUAGAUAUUAGGAGGAACACCAGUGGCGAAGGCGGCUUACUGGACUGUAACUGACGUUGAGGCUCGAAAGCGUGGGGAGCAAACAGGAUUAGAUACCCGUGUA